GUAGUCGGAUUCACACAUCAAUCCACAUGUGUUGAGGUGGAUUGGAGUGGAACUUGAACUAAAUUCCACCCCAAUCCACACCAAUACACAUGGAUUGAAGUGAAUCCGACA
rfam:Sorghum bicolor cultivar BTx623 chromosome 6, whole genome shotgun sequence.